UACGUAGGGUGCAAGCGUUAUUCGGAAUUACUGGGCGUAAAGCGUGCGCAGGCGGUUUUGCAAGACAGAUGUGAAAUCCCCGGGCUCAACCUGGGAACUGCAUUUGUGACUGCAUGGCUAGAGUACGGUAGAGGGGGAUGGAAUUCCGCGUGUAGCAGUGAAAUGCGUAGAUAUGCGGAGGAACACCGAUGGCGAAGGCAAUCCCCUGGACCUGUACUGACGCUCAUGCACGAAAGCGUGGGGAGCAAACAGG
rnacentral:rRNA from 1 species